rnacentral:rRNA from 1 species
UUAAGCGACUAAGCGUACACGGUGGAUGCCCUGGCAGUCAGAGGCGAUGAAGGACGUGCUAAUCUGCGAUAAGCGUCGGUAAGGUGAUAUGAACCGUUAUAACCGGCGAUUUCCGAAUGGGGAAACCCAGUGUGUUUCGACACACUAUCAUUAACUGAAUCCAUAGGUUAAUGAGGCGAACCGGGGGAACUGAAACAUCUAAGUACCCCGAGGAAAAGAAAUCAACCGAGAUUCCCCCAGUAGCGGCGAGCGAACGGGGAGCAGCCCAGAGCCUGAAUCAGUGUGUGUGUUAGUGGAAGCGUCUGGAAAGGCGCGCGAUACAGGGUGACAGCCCCGUACACAAAAAUGCACAUGCUGUGAGCUCGAUGAGUAGGGCGGGACACGUGGUAUCCUGUCUGAAUAUGGGGGGACCAUCCUCCAAGGCUAAAUACUCCUGACUGACCGAUAGUGAACCAGUACCGUGAGGGAAAGGCGAAAAGAACCCCGGCGAGGGGAGUGAAAAAGAACCUGAAACCGUGUACGUACAAGCAGUGGGAGCACGCUUAGGCGUGUGACUGCGUACCUUUUGUAUAAUGGGUCAGCGACUUAUAUUCUGUAGCAAGGUUAACCGAAUAGGGGAGCCGAAGGGAAACCGAGUCUUAACUGGGCGUUAAGUUGCAGGGUAUAGACCCGAAACCCGGUGAUCUAGCCAUGGGCAGGUUGAAGGUUGGGUAACACUAACUGGAGGACCGAACCGACUAAUGUUGAAAAAUUAGCGGAUGACUUGUGGCUGGGGGUGAAAGGCCAAUCAAACCGGGAGAUAGCUGGUUCUCCCCGAAAGCUAUUUAGGUAGCGCCUCGUGAAUUCAUCUCCGGGGGUAGAGCACUGUUUCGGCAAGGGGGUCAUCCCGACUUACCAACCCGAUGCAAACUGCGAAUACCGGAGAAUGUUAUCACGGGAGACACACGGCGGGUGCUAACGUCCGUCGUGAAGAGGGAAACAACCCAGACCGCCAGCUAAGGUCCCAAAGUCAUGGUUAAGUGGGAAACGAUGUGGGAAGGCCCAGACAGCCAGGAUGUUGGCUUAGAAGCAGCCAUCAUUUAAAGAAAGCGUAAUAGCUCACUGGUCGAGUCGGCCUGCGCGGAAGAUGUAACGGGGCUAAACCAUGCACCGAAGCUGCGGCAGCGACGCUUAUGCGUUGUUGGGUAGGGGAGCGUUCUGUAAGCCUGUGAAGGUGUGCUGUGAGGCAUGCUGGAGGUAUCAGAAGUGCGAAUGCUGACAUAAGUAACGAUAAAGCGGGUGAAAAGCCCGCUCGCCGGAAGACCAAGGGUUCCUGUCCAACGUUAAUCGGGGCAGGGUGAGUCGACCCCUAAGGCGAGGCCGAAAGGCGUAGUCGAUGGGAAACAGGUUAAUAUUCCUGUACUUGGUGUUACUGCGAAGGGGGGACGGAGAAGGCUAUGUUGGCCGGGCGACGGUUGUCCCGGUUUAAGCGUGUAGGCUGGUUUUCCAGGCAAAUCCGGAAAAUCAAGGCUGAGGCGUGAUGACGAGGCACUACGGUGCUGAAGCAACAAAUGCCCUGCUUCCAGGAAAAGCCUCUAAGCAUCAGGUAACAUCAAAUCGUACCCCAAACCGACACAGGUGGUCAGGUAGAGAAUACCAAGGCGCUUGAGAGAACUCGGGUGAAGGAACUAGGCAAAAUGGUGCCGUAACUUCGGGAGAAGGCACGCUGAUAUGUAGGUGAAGUCCCUCGCGGAUGGAGCUGAAAUCAGUCGAAGAUACCAGCUGGCUGCAACUGUUUAUUAAAAACACAGCACUGUGCAAACACGAAAGUGGACGUAUACGGUGUGACGCCUGCCCGGUGCCGGAAGGUUAAUUGAUGGGGUUAGCGCAAGCGAAGCUCUUGAUCGAAGCCCCGGUAAACGGCGGCCGUAACUAUAACGGUCCUAAGGUAGCGAAAUUCCUUGUCGGGUAAGUUCCGACCUGCACGAAUGGCGUAAUGAUGGCCAGGCUGUCUCCACCCGAGACUCAGUGAAAUUGAACUCGCUGUGAAGAUGCAGUGUACCCGCGGCAAGACGGAAAGACCCCGUGAACCUUUACUAUAGCUUGACACUGAACAUUGAGCCUUGAUGUGUAGGAUAGGUGGGAGGCUUUGAAGUGUGGACGCCAGUCUGCAUGGAGCCGACCUUGAAAUACCACCCUUUAAUGUUUGAUGUUCUAACGUUGACCCGUAAUCCGGGUUGCGGACAGUGUCUGGUGGGUAGUUUGACUGGGGCGGUCUCCUCCUAAAGAGUAACGGAGGAGCACGAAGGUUGGCUAAUCCUGGUCGGACAUCAGGAGGUUAGUGCAAUGGCAUAAGCCAGCUUGACUGCGAGCGUGACGGCGCGAGCAGGUGCGAAAGCAGGUCAUAGUGAUCCGGUGGUUCUGAAUGGAAGGGCCAUCGCUCAACGGAUAAAAGGUACUCCGGGGAUAACAGGCUGAUACCGCCCAAGAGUUCAUAUCGACGGCGGUGUUUGGCACCUCGAUGUCGGCUCAUCACAUCCUGGGGCUGAAGUAGGUCCCAAGGGUAUGGCUGUUCGCCAUUUAAAGUGGUACGCGAGCUGGGUUUAGAACGUCGUGAGACAGUUCGGUCCCUAUCUGCCGUGGGCGCUGGAGAACUGAGGGGGGCUGCUCCUAGUACGAGAGGACCGGAGUGGACGCAUCACUGGUGUUCGGGUUGUCAUGCCAAUGGCACUGCCCGGUAGCUAAAUGCGGAAGAGAUAAGUGCUGAAAGCAUCUAAGCACGAAACUUGCCCCGAGAUGAGUUCUCCCUGACUCCUUGAGAGUCCUGAAGGAACGUUGAAGACGACGACGUUGAUAGGCCGGGUGUGUAAGCGCAGCGAUGCGUUGAGCUAACCGGUACUAAUGAACCGUGAGGCUUAACCU